rnacentral:rRNA from 1 species
AUUGAACGCUGGCGGCAGGCCUAACACAUGCAAGUCGAGCGGAGCGGCGGACGGGUGAGUAAUGCCUAGGAAUCUGCCUGGUAGUGGGGGAUAAAGUCCGGAAACGGGCGCUAAUACCGCAUACUAUCAGAUGAGCCUAGGUCGGAUUAGCUAGUUGGUGGGGUAAAGGCCUACCAAGGCGACGAGCCGUAACUGGUCGGAGAUGAUGUUCAGUCACCCUGGAACUGAGACACGGUCCAGACUCCGUCGGUAGGCAGAAGUGGGGAAUAUUUGACAAUGGGCGAAAGCCUGAUCCAGCCAUGCCGCGUGUGUGCAGAAGGUCUUCGGAUUGUAAAGCACUUUAAGUUGGGAGGCGUUACCAACAGAAUAAGCACCGGCUAACUUCGUGCCAGCAGCCGCGGUAAUUC